rnacentral:rRNA from 1 species
GGGAGCACAGGUUUACCUGUGUGACUGCGUACCUUUUGUAUAAUGGGUCAGCGACUUAUAUUCUGUAGCAAGGUUAACCGAAUAGGGGAGCCGGAGGGAAACCGAGUCUUAAUUGGGCGUUAAGUUGCAGGGUAUAGACCCGAAACCCGGUGAUCUAGCCAUGGGCAGGUUGAAGGUUGGGUAACACUAACUGGAGGACCGAACCGACUAAUGUUGAAAAAUUAGCGGAUGACCUGUGGCUGGGGGUGAAAGGCCAAUCAAACCGGGAGAUAGCUGGUUCUCCCCGAAAGCUAUUUAGGUAGCGCCUCGUGAAUUCAUCUCCGGGGGUAGAGCACUGUUUCGGCUAGGGGGCCAUCCCGGCUUACCAACCCGAUGCAAACUGCGAAUACCGGAGAAUGUUAUCACGGGAGACACACGGCGGGUGCUAACGUCCGUCGUGAAGAGGGAAACAACCCAGACCGCCAGCUAAGGUCCCAAAGUCAUGGUUAAGUGGGAAACGAUGUGGGAAGGCCCAGACAGCCAGGAUGUUGGCUUAGAAGCAGCCAUCAUUUAAAGAAAGCGUAAUAGCUCACUGGUCGAGUCGGCCUGCGCGGAAGAUGUAACGGGGCUAAACCAUGCACCGAAGCUGCGGCAGCGANNUGCUGGAGGUAUCAGAAGUGCGAAUGCUGACAUAAGUAACGAUAAAGCGGGUGAAAAGCCCGCUCGCCGGAAGACCAAGGGUUCCUGUCCAACGUUAAUCGGGGCAGGGUGAGUCGACCCCUAAGGCGAGGCCGAAAGGCGUAGUCGAUGGGAAACGGGUUAAUAUUCCCGUACUUGGUGUUACUGCGAAGGGGGGACGGAGAAGGCUAUGUUGGCCGGGCGACGGUUGUCCCGGUUUAAGCGUGUAGGUGUGUGUUCCAGGUAAAUCCGGUUCACUUUAACACUGAGGCGUGACGACGAGGCACUACGGUGCUGAAGCAACAAAUGCCCUGCUUCCAGGAAAAGCCUCUAAGCAUCAGGUAACAUCAAAUCGUACCCCAAACCGACACAGGUGGUCAGGUAGAGAAUACCAAGGCGCUUGAGAGAACUCGGGUGAAGGAACUAGGCAAAAUGGUGCCGUAACUUCGGGAGAAGGCACGCUGACAUGUAGGUGAAGUGAUUUACUCAUGGAGCUGAAGUCAGUCGAAGAUACCAGCUGGCUGCAACUGUUUAUUAAAAACACAGCACUGUGCAAACACGAAAGUGGACGUAUACGGUGUGACGCCUGCCCGGUGCCGGAAGGUUAAUUGAUGGGGUCAGCGCAAGCGAAGCUCCUGAUCGAAGCCCCGGUAAACGGCGGCCGUAACUAUAACGGUCCUAAGGUAGCGAAAUUCCUUGUCGGGUAAGUUCCGACCUGCACGAAUGGCGUAAUGAUGGCCAGGCUGUCUCCACCCGAGACUCAGUGAAAUUGAACUCGCUGUGAAGAUGCAGUGUACCCGCGGCAAGACGGAAAGACCCCGUGAACCUUUACUAUAGCUUGACACUGAACAUUGAGCCUUGAUGUGUAGGAUAGGUGGGAGGCUUUGAAGUGUGGACGCCAGUCUGCAUGGAGCCGACCUUGAAAUACCACCCUUUAAUGUUUGAUGUUCUAACGUGGACCCGUUAUCCGGGUUGCGGACAGUGUCUGGUGGGUAGUUUGACUGGGGCGGUCUCCUCCUAAAGAGUAACGGAGGAGCACGAAGGUUGGCUAAUCCUGGUCGGACAUCAGGAGGUUAGUGCAAUGGCAUAAGCCAGCUUGACUGCGAGCGUGACGGCGCGAGCAGGUGCGAAAGCAGGUCAUAGUGAUCCGGUGGUUCUGAAUGGAAGGGCCAUCGCUCAACGGAUAAAAGGUACUCCGGGGAUAACAGGCUGAUACCGCCCAAGAGUUCAUAUCGACGGCGGUGUUUGGCACCUCGAUGUCGGCUCAUCACAUCCUGGGGCUGAAGUAGGUCCCAAGGGUAUGGCUGUUCGCCAUUUAAAGUGGUACGCGAGCUGGGUUUAGAACGUCGUGAGACAGUUCGGUCCCUAUCUGCCGUGGGCGCUGGAGAACUGAGGGGGGCUGCUCCUAGUACGAGAGGACCGGAGUGGACGCAUCACUGGUGUUCGGGUUGUCAUGCCAAUGGCACUGCCCGGUAGCUAAAUGCGGAAGAGAUAAGUGCUGAAAGCAUCUAAGCACGAAACUUGCCCCGAGAUGAGUUCUCCCUGAGACUUAGAGUCUCCUGAAGGAACGUUGAAGACGACGACGUUGAUAGGCCGGGUGUGUAAGCGCAGCGAUGCGUUGAG